UGUGGCUUGGGCGUUGGAGUCCGCCUGGAAAACUUGGAACGAAUAAGACCGCUGGUCUGUACCGUGGCCUGGCAGCCGCACAGCCUGGAUCAUGUACAGGUGCAGGUCAAUUCGCCCGGUCUCGAUCGGAGUUGGCACCCGGAGAGGGCUGAAAUCGGAGAAGACAAACAUGGGCGCGAUGAUCAGCAAGACGAUAGCGACAAUGAUCAAA
rnacentral:SRP_RNA from 11 species